ensembl:snRNA U6 U6 spliceosomal RNA
GUGCUUGCUUCAGCGGCACACAUACUACAAUUGGAACAAUAUAGAGAUUAGCAUGGCCCCUGUGCAAGGAUGACACGCAAAUUCGUGAAGCAUUCCAUAUAUAU